UUAAUUGAAACCAAAGAAGAGGUAUUCCACUGUUAAUGGAAAAAUUGGAUAAUUCCCAAUUAAA
rnacentral:tRNA from 1 species